UUACACAUGACUGUUGUUUAGUUCUCACUAAUACUUCUUUCAUAAAUACUUUAUCAAAUGGCCGCCGUUUGUGAAUAAAAGACGCUAAAAUUAGUAUCAAAUUCCUAAGUUGGUAUGACAUUCGCGUUGGGCUACGAAGGUCCAUAAGAAUCUUCAACCUCAAAUUGUCGCUUCAAAAUAGGAAACGAAGAGCAAUUUGAAAAACUAUCGCGCUAUGAGUGUAAAAAUUGUGACGUGGGUCUAUGUGUUCAUGAUAAGUAAGGAACUAUGCUACGGCCGUGAGUUGGACUUCUGCUCAAGCUUCUAAUACUAAUAUCACUACUUCGGCGAUUUAAAUCCAGUGGUUUGACUUGAACAAAUUCCGAAUUACGUCGAAAGGAAAUAUCUGAAUUUCUACGUAUCUCAGUUCGGGGAGUAAAACCGCUAACAUCAGAAUUACGUCUUGAACCUAAAAUAUAAAUGAAAUAUAAUUGAAAUAAAAGUGUAUUUAUACUAGGAUUGAUAA